rnacentral:misc_RNA from 1 species
AAAGUCGUAACAAGGUCUCCGUUGGUGAACCAGCGGAGGGAUCAUUACCGAGUACUACAACUCAUAACCCUUUGUGAACCAUCAUACCUGUUGCUUCGGCGGCGCCCCCGAGAGGGGGUGCCCGCCGGCCUACAGAAUCUCUGUUUUCGAACCCGACGAUACUUCUGAGUGUUCUUAGCGAACUGUCAAAACUUUCAACAACGGAUCUCUUGGUUCUG